CCCUAGCCCCGAUUGCAGCAGAAAUCCUUUUUGCAUAGUGCAACGGAGUAAAAAGAUUGUAGCGUAAAGCAGGAACCAGC
rnacentral:sRNA from 1 species